AAAAAUUAUUUCACUUUGAUCGUUUUGUCAUAUUUCCAAAUAUUUUAUUAUUGAUUUAACUUAUUCAUAUUUAUUUUUUUAUAAUCGAUAUAAACGAUGAACUCUUUAAAAUGUGUCCUCCUAAUAAAAUAGUCAACUAUUGACCCCCCAGCAGAUCAAAGAGUGCAGUAGAAUUCUUACAUAUAGCUUCAAUGGAUAAAAUCUGUCCAAAAUUUCAAGUUUCGUGUUGUUUGAAUGGGAGAGAGAUUUUUCAAAAACCAUGAAUAUUUGUUGAAACUCUUCAACAACAAUGGAUAUUUUUGAUACAUAUUUGAAAAUUUACUAAGUCUGGCAAUUUUAAACAAUGCCGCCGCCGUUGAAGUUUUCGACCAACAUUUAUGUCCUAAUUAAUCAGUGAAAUGAAAAAGGCAUAGAACAAGAAAAUGACAACAAACAAUUUGAGUUCAAUUCAAUUCACUUACCAAGAACUGUCAGCCAACAUUUAUACUUCACUUUUCUUGAAAAGAACUUCAUCUAUUCGUUAUACUUUGAAAACUCAACGUUCAAGAAGAGUUAUUUUCCUUUUCAUAAAGACGAAAAUUCCUUUACUAAAGGUUGCCUUUAGAUAAGUUAAAUUGCAUUUUCUUUCUCUCUUCACGUCAAAUCAAUCAGUAAAUGGACAAAAAUCUUAUAGAAGAAACUGAUAACAACAACAACAACAACAAAAAAUAAAAAAGAAUAAACAACAACAAUAACUUCCUUCUAAGCAAACAAUUUGAUUUAGCCCAGGAACAAGACCGAUACCAAUGCGAUGCCGAUGAUGGUUGGUUGUGCUUUCUUGUUGGAAUAGCAAUUCAUUUUUUUUUUUUAUCUAUUGGUCAAACAAACUCUCUGUCGGUAGCCAGAAAUUGUUUUGAUCGAAUAAUAUAAAAGCACGCAGGAGAAUGGAAGUUUAUACAUCUACGCGCACUCAAAAAGAAAUGUAAUGAAACGGGUUGAGCAGCUAAAACUGCCGGAUAACUUGGCUCCUUUACAAAGUGUAAUAACUAAAUUUUGGUUCUUCGAUAGAAAAGAUUUCAAGAAAGAUUGCUCACUUACUAUUAAUGUUGUUGGUUUUGUUACAUUUGCAGUGAUUUGGGGUUGGCUUUAAGUUAUUGGCGGUUGUAUGAAUCAUUUAUCAAUUAACCACAGAUUAAAUUACCAUUGCCUCUUGGCGUCAGGCAGACCGUUUGUGGUAUUAAUAUAAUUACCAAUGAAAAUAUGAUGAAUAUUGUACGCUUGAGAGAAGAACCAUUACCUUAACUCAUUUUAACAUCAAUAACUUAAAAGUGUUGGUAGUAAUUCAAAAAGGUCACAUCUCCUUAAAUUAAAAAUGUUCAGAAUAUGUAAAAAAGAAACAAAUUAUCUGCUCCUGUGCAAAUGGAAUGUCCAUUGUACUAUUAUAUGGAUUCAUGGCCCGCGUGUACAAGGACGAAUUAGGUAUUAAAUGGAAAAUGGCGUUGAGCAUGCUCUGUGUGUGAAAUAUUUUCAAAAUCGUUCAAUGGAAAGUCGAGAUAUUUGAGGUUAAGGUUGCUGAUCUCAAAAUCAAGAUUUCGUAGAUUGAAAAAUAAAUGACGUAAAAAGAUCAUAUUGGUAUCAAAUGAAAAGUAUUACUGUCUAAUCUGUAUCAUAUUAAUAUUUUUGUAUGAUUUUUGGACAUAAACCAUUUAACCGAUUUCAACGAAAAUUUUUGUAAAAACAAAAUUAAGUACCCUUAAUUUAAAAGUAAAAAAAAAUUUCACAAAAAUCAAUUUU